AUUGAACGCUGGCGGCAGGCCUAACACAUGCAAGUCGAACGGUAACAGGAAGAAGCUUGCUUCUUUGCUGACGAGUGGCGGCCGGGUGAGUAAUGUCUGGGAAACUGCCUGAUGGAGGGGGAUAACUACUGGAAACGGUAGCUAAUACCGCAUAACGUCGCAAGACCAAAGAGGGGGACCUUCGGGCCUCUUGCCAUCGGAUGUGCCCAGAUGGGAUUAGCUUGUUGGUGGGGUAACGGCUCACCAAGGCGACGAUCCCUAGCUGGUCUGAGAGGAUGACCAGCCACACUGGAACUGAGACACGGUCCAGACUCCUACGGGAGGCAGCAGUGGGGAAUAUUGCACAAUGGGCGCAAGCCUGAUGCAGCCAUGCCGCGUGUAUGAAGAAGGCCUUCGGGUUGUAAAGUACUUUCAGCGGGGAGGAAGGGAGUAAAGUUAAUACCUUUGCUCAUUGACGUUACCCGCAGAAGAAGCACCGGCUAACUCCGUG
rnacentral:rRNA from 1 species